rnacentral:rRNA from 1 species
UACGGAGGUUGCAAGCGUUGUUCGGAAUAACUGGGCGUAAAGGGAGCGCAGGCGGCUUGGUAAGUCUAAAGUGAAAUUCCAGGGCUCAACCCUGGACGUGCUUUGGAUACUGCCGGGCUUGAGGCAGGUAGGGGAGAUCGGAAUUCCUGGUGUAGCGGUGAAAUGCGCAGAUAUCAGGAGGAACACCGGUGGCGAAGGCGGAUCUCUGGGCCUGUCCUGACGCUGAGGCGCGAAAGCUAGGGGAGCGAACAGG